GCUACACGGGAACAGGCUGCUGCAGAUCCUGCUGCCUGCCAGCCAUACAGCAAGACAGACGGCCAGAAAGAUCAGUACCAUUUCUGAAGGUCGUCAUGUGUGUCAGAAAUAGCUAAUAAAAUUCAGGUGGCCAGCGAUGACAGACAAUAAAUUGUCAUGAUUUAUGAGCCUACAUGACUGGUGGUAAAAGAACCAGCUAACAAGUGAGAUGAAUAAGAACUUUCACCCGAAGAGACACCCAUGUUCACGUCUAUUGGGAGUUUGGCCUACCUCCCAAACAUUAGGUUCCUUGGAUUCCUCUCCAGAUUAAUCAUUCAAUGGUAAGUAUAAUGCAUUUAUUCAGACACCAACAAUAAUAGUGUAAAC